CUCACUUCCUUUUGUUUGCCCAGGACCCUAUCCGUGGCUCCACAAAGUCACAGGACCUCCUGGUCAGCCUCCUCCUAGCCCUGGAUAAAAUGGCCAUUUAUAAAACCAGAGAGAGGAGG